rnacentral:rRNA from 1 species
UAGCACCGGCUAACUCCGUGCCAGCAGCCGCGGUAAUACGGAGGGUGCGAGCGUUAAUCGGAAUUACUGGGCGUAAAGCGCAUGCAGGUGGUUUGUUAAGUCAGAUGUGAAAGCCCGGGGCUCAACCUCGGAAUUGCAUUUGAAACUGGCAGACUAGAGUACUGUAGAGGGGGGUAGAAUUUCAGGUGUAGCGGUGAAAUGCGUAGAGAUCUGAAGGAAUACCGGUGGCGAAGGCGGCCCCCUGGACAGAUACUGACACUCAGAUGCGAAAGCGUGGGGAGCAAACAGGAUUAGAUACCCUGGUAGUCCACGCCGUAAACGAUGUCUACUUGGAGGUUGUGGCCUUGAGCCGUGGCUUUCGGAGCUAACGCGUUAAGUAGACCGCCUGGGGAGUACGGUCGCAAGAUUAAAACUCAAAUGAAUUGACGGGGGCCCGCACAAGCGGUGGAGCAUGUGGUUUAAUUCGAUGCAACGCGAAGAACCUUACCUACUCUUGACAUCCAGAGAACUUUCCAGAGAUGGAUUGGUGCCUUCGGGAACUCUGAGACAGGUGCUGCAUGGCUGUCGUCAGCUCGUGUUGUGAAAUGUUGGGUUAAGUCCCGCAACGAGCGCAACCCUUAUCCUUGUUUGCCAGCGAGUAAUGUCGGGAACUCCAGGGAGACUGCCGGUGAUAAACCGGAGGAAGGUGGGGACGACGUCA